rnacentral:rRNA from 1 species
AGUGAACGCUGGCGGUAGGCCUAACACAUGCAAGUCGAACGGCAGCACAGUAAGAGCUUGCUCUUACGGGUGGCGAGUGGCGGACGGGUGAGGAAUACAUCGGAAUCUACUUUUUCGUGGGGGAUAACGUAGGGAAACUUACGCUAAUACCGCAUACGACCUACGGGUGAAAGCAGGGGAUCUUCGGACCUUGCGCGAUUGAAUGAGCCGAUGUCGUAUUAGCUAGUUGGCGGGGUAAAGGCCCACCAAGGCGACGAUCCGUAGCUGGUCUGAGAGGAUGAUCAGCCACACUGGAACUGAGACACGGUCCAGACUCCUACGGGAGGCAGCAGUGGGGAAUAUUAGACAAUGGGCGCAAGCCUGAUCCAGCCAUACCGCGUGGGUGAAGAAGGCCUUCGGGUUGUAAAGCCCUUUUGUUGGGAAAGAAAAGCAGCAGGUUAAUACCCCGCUGUUCUGACGGUACCCAAAGAAUAAGCACCGGCUAACUUCGUG